ensembl:misc_RNA Metazoa_SRP Metazoan signal recognition particle RNA
GCUCACCAGAUGUCUGCACUAAGUUCGGCAUCAAUAGUGUGACCUCCUAGGAUUGGGGGGCCACCAGGUUGCCUAAAGAUGGGUGAACUGGUCCAGGUCAGAAAGGGAGCAGGUCAGAACUGCCACACCGACAGUAGUGGGACUGUGCCUGGGC